UUUGCAGUCAUAACCUUUUGGCAGUUCAUGUCUUUUCAACGAUUGUUUGCUUGCUACGUUUCACCUCCAUUCAUUUUCUAAUCUGCUGCGUGUCCUGAUUUGUUUUCUUGAGAGGACAUCACCAGACAAAUAAUUGUUCCUUCCCUUCCUCUUUCAUUGCUAAAAAAAAAACAUGUCAGGGAGCAAUGAAAAUAAAAACUACUCUCUCUCUUUAAGAUUUCAAUCUCUCUGUUUCUUCUCUUUGAAAAAUGACUUGAAAUUCUUAUGGGAAGGAAAUUGUUUUUGAAGCUUGAUUCUUCAUGUUUAAUAAAAAUCUUGCAUAAAUCAACUGAAAAAAAUCCAUAUAGCGUCACAACAAUCGAACUUUCCAAAUUCACAAGCCCAGUUGAAAGAAGGAGAUCCACGGGGGAAGAGUUGCCGCUGCUACUGGCACCGCCAACACACAAAUCCACGACCAGACAAGCAAGAUAAAUGAACCACGUUUUCCUGAUGGUGGAGCUGGUGGCGUCAUUUCUGUCGCAAUUCUGUCGUCAGCCCACCAUUCUGCGUCCUGUGGUUUUGGAUGAGUCAAAUUGAAUUUUUAUUGGAUAUGAGUUAUAUACAUACAUCACUUUUCUCUUUUUA